rnacentral:rRNA from 1 species
UGGGGAAUAUUGGGCAAUGGGCGAAAGCCUGACCCAGCAACGCCGCGUGAUUGAAGAAGGCCUUCGGGUUGUAAAGAUCUGUCCUAUGGGACGAAAAAAAUGACGGUACCAUAGGAGGAAGCCCCGGCUAACUACGUGCCAGCAGCCGCGGUAAUACGUAGGGGGCGAGCGUUGUCCGGAAUUACUGGGCGUAAAGGGUGCGUAGGCGGCGCUUUAAGUCAGAUGUGAAAUACCCAGGCUUAACCUGGGGGGUGCAUUUGAAACUGGAGCGCUUGAGUGCAGGAGAGGAAAGUGGAAUUCCUAGUGUAGCGGUGAAAUGCGUAGAUAUUAGGAGGAACACCAGUGGCGAAGGCGACUUUCUGGACUGUAACUGACGCUGAGGCACGAAAGCGUGGGGAGCAAACA